GACGAAGGGGGCUAGCGUUGUUCGGAAUUACUGGGCGUAAAGGGCGCGUAGGCGGCCACCGCAAGUCGACUGUGAAAUCUCCGGGCUUAACCCGGAAAGGUCAGCCGAUACUGCCGCGGCUGGAGCACUGUAGAGGCAGGCGGAAUUCCGGGUGUAGCGGUGGAAUGCGUAGAGAUCCGGAAGAACACCGGUGGCGAAGGCGGCCUGCUGGGCAGUUUUGCUGACACUGAGGCGCGACAGCGUGGGGAGAGAACAGG
rnacentral:rRNA from 1 species